CAACAGAAAAGUUACUUGGUUCCCGUUUCUGACCAAUCAAUAAAUAGAAGUCUUAACUGUCUCUUGAAACCAGAAGAUAUUCAGUUCAACCGGGUUAAGAACAGUUAGUUCUGAACAUCACUGGAUUACAACAUGAGAGCUGCAUCAAGCUUUAUCCUUCUCCUGAUAGCUUUGCACCAAGGUGAGCCUCUGGAAUGUAACUUCUGCUUCUCCACUGGGGGGGGACUGUGCACUCCCACCAGCACUCAGAUCUGCUCCAGAACCCAAAAUGCCUGUGCUGCUGUCAUUUUCCAAGGAGCUCUGAACUGUUCGUUUCGUCAGUGCAUGAACAUGGCGGUGUGUCAGGGAUACAUCUCCACUCCUGGAAUUCUGGCUUCAUGCUGCAGCUCUGACCUCUGUAACUGAGACUUUCAUCAGAGCCUGAAGACAGUUCGGAUCUUUCAGCUUCACACCGCUUUGAUUCCUCUGAAGAAAUUCAGUUUUUUGCAGAUAAAUUGGGUCUUUUAUUUUGGUUAAGUCAAAUUCGAUGAACAGGCAGGAAUGGUUGCAGUUCACAAAGUAACCACUGGGUUCCUUUGGAUUUUCGUCUAUGUGAUCUUCACUGGUGUCAAUGGAUUACAUACAUUUCUCAAUGUACUCUCAAUGCUGCCUAAUUGAUUAACUUUAAAAAAUGUAAAUGUAAAAAAUAAGUAAAAUGGAUCACAAUUAAAUGUUCUUUAUUAUUAGAGUUAAUAACUAACGGCUUACUUUGAUUUUUGUUUGCAUGUUCUUUUCUUAUUUAAGGAAAGAUGACAAAUAAAGCAGAAAACUGUUCUCUCAGACUCCUUAGUUGUUUUAUUUUACAAUUUAUAAACAUCAUUUUACUGCUACUGGGGUCCGUCCACACGACUCUGAUACGAGCUUAUAAACAGGAAGUCCUGGUAGCUCUGUAAUGGGCUGCUGCAUUGACUGUAUAUGAGAAAUGGACUGAGCGAGUUUGAUGUCACUCAUAGAAAACUGCUUUCUUCAAGCUUCAACCAAAUAAAAUCAAUUUAGUGACCUUUAUAUUUGAUGCGGACACUGGCAUGUUGGAGACAGACGACGUCUGUCAGCAGUGAGUUGUCUAAGUCAGUCUGAAUCAAUGUUUCUAUGACAACCAUUCCGGUAAGGAGUGAGCUUUUUAGAAGUGGGGGGGGGGGGGCUCAGUCUCACUGACUGUGAGCUCCUAUGUUGAUCAAGGAAAUAUGAACCUGACUAUAGUUGUUACUUGAUGGUGCUGUCCAUGACUGAAGGUCACUGUUGCUUUCCUAUUCUUUUAUGAAACUUUGCUUAUAUUUUGCCCACUUAUACAGUUUUGCUCUAAGUCUACCACUUUCUGUUUCUUGUAACUAGCUGGCUGGCAAAUGACUAAAAUGCACGCUGCAUUCAACAACAAUCCCACCACACACUGAGUCUCCAUUGGUAAAAUCCUGUCAUGUGACUCGGGGAUAGCACACGUGGUUCACUUAUUUCAGGUGAUUGGUUGAAAUAUAUUUUUAAAAGAAACUAAAAACAGCCACAUUGACACCCAAAUUAUAUUAACACAGCUAAUUUUACCAAAAGUAUCACUAUCAAAAACACCCAAUUGUGCCCAUCCCCUAAAUCCUACUCUCCAUCACAGACUCUGAAGAAACGAGCUUCACUCCCACCACACCCUUAGCCUUGGAGAUUUCCAGGAUGAUCCAAUUGUUCUAUACUGCAUUUGAUUAGUUUUACUCAAAGAUUUACAUAUUCACCGUUACUUUAAGCCUAAUUUAUUACAGGACUAAAUUCAAUUUUUUCAACUUUCUCAAAAUUUGUAUUUAAUGAUCACGUUUUGAAUAUUCUUUUCAAAUGUUUCUUUUAUUUUUUGUGUAAAAGCAUUUGGAAUUUUCUUUGUAAACAGAAUGUUCUUUACAACUAACCUUACCUUGUCUUUAACUCUGAUAAACAUUUACAGUUUCACUCCUAAACUGUUGCCUUCGAAUAAAAGGACACCCAGCUGGGUUCAGAUCCAGGUCCAGGUUGGUUCCUGUGAAACAUAAAGGUUACUGAUGUGAGUGCUGAGCUCUGACAUGGAGAAGAGACAUGGACAAACUCACAACUGAGUUUUGCUCUGGCUCUCAUCUUCCCCACACAGUGUGCUUUAAGAGGGAUUGUGUCCUUACACUGAUCCAUGCAGCUGGGUUCACUGCAUUCACAUCUCACACACAUAUUCUGUCUUAAUCUGCAGAGGAAAGACACAUCAUCAGCUCUGAUCCUCCUUCACCAACAGAUCAGCUGCUCCACCACUGAUUGGCUCUUGUCUUCUGUCUCCUCUCCGGUUCAGGUAAUUGCAGUCAGACAGUGGUGGGAGGCAGAUGAAUCUGCCAUCAGCUGCUACACCUCUGCUCUCACUCCACGAGACAAAGGCAUGGAGAGGCAGAAAACACUCCAUACUGGAGCAACAUUUCCAGUCAGUCACUUUGACAAAGAAAGAAAAAAACUUCCUGUUUCUACAAUUCAGUAAUAAAGGAAGAAGAUCAAGUAAAAACGACUGAAAUAGACGGAAAUAAAACAAAGAGUUGAAAAAAAAGAAAAAUGGAAAUUCUUCCUCUGAAUGAGAUGCAGAAAUAAACAGGGAUAAGCAGAAUGAGCAGCUCUGAACUCUGACUCAGUAAUUUGUAGAAGAGAGCUCUGGAUCACUGAUGAAGCUGCAUUGAGCAGCACUGACAAGAACAACAACAAUUCAGAAAACAAAGCCGGCUCCACUGACUAUAAUCUGAUUUUAAGUCACCAAAAGGUUCAGAAUCUCUUUGUUUUAACAGAGUCCCUAAUACCCCUAGUAUUUAGUGAUAUAAAAGACCACACAGAACUUAAAGACAUAAAUAAAACACAAAACAAAUGCAAAAAAAAAGAGAAAAUUCAAGAUGAAAGAAGCUGGUGUUUGAAAUUUAAGGUUAGCUGAGCCCCUAACUAUUCAUUAAAUUUAAAACUGAGAAUUUUAGCAUUAGAUGGUGAAUUUCACUGAAAUGUUCAACUGGAAAUCAAUAUAAAUUGAAUGGGUUUGUUCAAAAGGGGCCCCAAGUCCACAAUUUUUCAAAAUAGAGAUAUUAUAUGUGCUAUGGUCUUCAAG